rnacentral:snoRNA from 1 species
ACUCCUGUUCUUGGCAGGCCCUGGCCACUCCGUGCCUGGGUCUGUGAUGUCCGGAGGUAGAGCAGUCACUC